rnacentral:rRNA from 1 species
UACGUAGGUGGCAAGCGUUGUCCGGAAUUAUUGGGCGUAAAGCGCGCGCAGGUGGUUCUUUAAGUCUGAUGUGAAAGCCCACGGCUCAACCGUGGAGGGUCAUUGGAAACUGGGGAACUUGAGUGCAGAAGAGGAAAGUGGAAUUCCAAGUGUAGCGGUGAAAUGCGUAGAGAUUUGGAAGGAACACCAGUGGCGAAGGCGACUUUCUGGUCUGUAACUGACACUGAGGC